GUACUUGCUUCAUCAGCACAUACAUUAAAAUUGGAACGAUACAGAUGUUAGCAUGGCUCCUGCACAAGGAUGACACGCAAAUUUGUGAAGCAUGAAAAAAAGAA